GAAGAAGAAGUACAAGGUGAAGGAUCAAUUCCAAUGAAUGUAGAUGAUAAAAAAGAAGAGGUAGAAGAGGAGGAAGACGACGGCGACGAAGAAGAAAUACAAGAUGAUGAAGAAAAAGGUCAAGGAUCAAGUCUACUCAAUAUAGAUGAUCAAAAAGAUGGUAUCCAAGUUCUGGAAGCUUUGGCGCUUGAACACCUCUUAAGAUCAGACUUUUCUUCUCAACAAGAACUUGUAGCAAAUUUACCACAGCAAACCCCUUUGAUUGAAGGUGCUAAUGAGAGUUGCA
rnacentral:misc_RNA from 1 species